rnacentral:rRNA from 4 species
GAUGAACGCUGGCGGUAUGCUUAACACAUGCAAGUCGAACGGUCUCUUCGGAGAUAGUGGCGGACGGGUGAGUAACGCGUGAGAAUCUGGCUUUAGGUCUGGGACAACCACUGGAAACGGUGGCUAAUACCGGAUGUGCCGAAAGGUGAAAGGUUAACUGCCUGGAGAUGAGCUCGCGUCUGAUUAGCUAGUUGGUAGGGUAAGAGCUUACCAAGGCGACGAUCAGUAGCUGGUCUGAGAGGACGAUCAGCCACACUGGGACUGAGACAC